UUAAGUCCCAAACUCGCGGUCACAUGAGGAUCCAAGCCCCAAACCCGCUGUCACAUGAGGAUCCGAGUUUCCUCCAUACAAGACCGAUACAUAGUUGAAGCGGUCAUGAACGAAGUCAGAGAGAGCAUUUGCAUUACGCUGCUCUCUAUUUCAGCGUCUCCAUCAUCAUCAACGAUAUCACGUCCUACUUCCAAUCGAACAAGAGGAGCAUCGAUCUCAUCGACGGCGCAUUCAUUCUUACAGCUUCAUGUUUGAAGGUAUGAGGUUACAGAGAUGUGAAAACUAGAAGUGUUCCAUGAGGCUCAAAAGCUUCGACGACGCCGUUUGCUUCGGUGUCAGUCGUACACAAACAAAGUAAGAAGAAAAACGUGAAAGAGGAGUCGAAAACUCACCAGAUUGCAGAAGACGAUUGUUAUAGAAGAUUGCAAAGGAUGCUUGCAGAAUAAUUGCAGAAGAUCGCAGAAGAUUGUAGAAGCUCCUUAUUGCAGAAGAUGAUUGCAGAAGCUUGUAGAAGAUGAUUGCAUAAGCUGAUUGCAGAAGAAUCUUGCAGAAGAUUGCAGAAGCUCCUUGUUGCAGAAGAUGAUUGCAGAAGAAUCUUGCAGAAGAUUGCAGAAGCUCCUUGUUGCAGAAGAUGAUUGCAGAAGGUUGCAGAAGAUGAUUUCAGAAGAUCCUUGUAGAAGAUGAUUGCAGAAUGAUUGCAGAAGCUUACAGAAGAUCCUUGCAGAAGAUGAUUGCGGAAUGAUUGCAGAAGAAUGCUUGCGAAAUGGGGCUACAACUGGUUAUAUAGAGGAUCAAUCCAACUGACUUGGGCAAGCUCUUGGGCAACCAGGGCUGUUUAAACGAGCUUGAAUUUACUGCAGGGUUUUUGAUACCAAGGUCAUAUUCAUGGACUUAAGACUUUGUUGUUGAAUGGAUAGUGGAUGAAAAAGUUAGGGAUGAGUCAACUACUGCAAUGCAUAAUGAGAUGCGAGUGAAGCAGGUUGCCAAAGAACAUAUUUGGUUGCUUGUUAUGUUCAUGAUCUGACCUGCAGGAUGAUUGAAGUUGAGGCAAGGUGAAUGCUUGGCUUGGUGUAAUGGUUGCUACCAACUUCAUGUGGUCUGCAGAAUGACUCCAAUAGAGAUGGCAAAUGGAUGGUGGACCUUGAAGAUGGAAAUUGAUACUUGUAAUCAAAUUAGAUCUUGUGUAUUUAGAACUUGUACAAGUUUUUUUUAUUGAAGUGUAAUAGCUAUUAACAACUAUGUAUACAACAUGAUCUUUGAUAACAUUUCACUUGUUUUCUAUCAA